rnacentral:rRNA from 1 species
CCUUUAAGGGUCCUGAAGGAACGUUGAAGACGACGACGUUGAUAGGCCGGGUGUGUAAGCGCAGCGAUGCGUUGAGCUAACCGGUACUAAUGAACCGUGAGGCUUAACCUUACAACGCCGAAGCUGUU